CCUUAGGAUGUGUCCAGACUAUUGGAUCGUGCCAUCUCAAUGGGUCACCACUGCUUGAUAUGUUUAAGAGCUCCCUCAGCCAUUUGAUCCCGUGAGAAGAUCGCUGGCAGUCAUUCGAUAGUGCAGAAGAAGGCCAUCUGCUCAUGCGCCAUAAUAAAGACCAAGGGACAUUGUUCCCCUGAACCACAUGUAGACCCGAUGCAUAUCGAUCUAUGGAUCAUCUAUGGACCAGCCCC
rnacentral:lncRNA from 1 species